UCGACCAGCUUGAGCUUGGCCCAUAAUGACAUUAAGAAAAGCUGCUAAUGCCUGGACUGCCUCAAGAGACAUGGCAUGAACACCAGGAGUAGCAGUAGGUGGUGGAGGAGGUGGAGGAAUCUCAGUAGGCUCAACAGCAGGUGCUGCUCGAAAAGUAGGUGCAGCAGACUCCCUUUCCACGGGAUCUGGCUGACUAAGUCUAGCACGGCCUCUUCCCCUCCCUACUGACCUAUAGAGAGGUGGACGCCCACGUCGAGGAGGCAUGGUACUCUACAAUAAGAAAUGGAAUAGACUUAGAUGACUUUAAAUUCUAUAUGCAACUAACUCGAUAUAACCUAACUUAACUUGACUUACUUAACUUAACUUAACUUGGGCCACGCAGUGUCAGUGUGGAUUUCUUAAAACAACUUUAAAAUCAAAAACUUUGAAAUCCAAAGCUUUAAAAUCAAAAUCUUUGAUCUUUAAACCAUGCUCUGAUACCAAUCUAAUUGUCACGACCCGGAACUCCCAUCGGGCCCGUGACAACCGCCGCGACGUCCCGAUAAGCACUCAUUACCCCGAAUGCCGAUCGAAACCCCGCAAGGCUUAGCAUCAACUUCCGCAUCUCCCCGGUGAGCGACAGUUAUUAAAUCUCGCAUUUCAAGAAAUCAUAAGUUGUUUCCAACUCAAAACAAUAAAAAUAUUAUUUUCUAGCUCACUGGGGCAUUUUCGUCAUUUUUUUUUUGAAAUUUCGAAAUCCGAAAAAAUGUAAUAUGUAAGUGGAAACACAUAUUUCAUGAUUUAAAUUAAAUUUUGAAGUCUAAAACAUUCGUUUAAAGUAAAAUUAUAGCUAUUUGAAUAUAAUAAAAACAUUAAAUAAAAUAUUCUAUUUUCUUAAAACACAAUAUUUUCAAAGUCUUCCUAAAAUAACUUUUGUAGCGUAAGAGUAAAAUAAAUUUAUUCAUAUAGUAAUAAAGAUAAUUAAAGUAUGAAAUUUCGUUUACAGUGACACGUGGGCCCCCAACUAACCAAGAAGGUGUAGAGCUACGAACCCUUACUUCCUAUGAUGCAACUCCGAGAUUAAUUCUCGUCUUAAUCAACUAUCAACAAACUGUCCUGAGCCUGAAAAAUGGAUAGGAAGAGGGGUGAGAUUAAAUAAUCCCAGUGAGUAAACAAUUACCAUCAAAAGCAUCUAAAGCCGAGUAGAUGGAGACAAUAUAAAAACGUUAUAUCUCAAUAAUGUUCAUAACACAAAAUUCGUUUCAAUCUAUACCAAAUAAUUUCUUUUCAUCAAAAUUUCCCCGACUUAUGAAUUUUUUUAAACUUGGCCCCUGCCAAUAUCAUUCUCGCGGGUACCUUCGUCAAGGUAUCCCACUGAGACCGCCAAGGCUGUUCAAUGACCCAUACCCAUAAACAUGUUUUCACAUCUGACACACAGCCGUUCCUUGGCGUUGGCUGAGUCUCACUCUCACGUGGUGGCCCGAACGUGAGGUGCACUCAAAUCAUACCUCAGGAGAUACUUCACCCAACAUCUCCCCCCGGAGGUAAGUAUAUAAUUGAGUUACCGUGCCCCUCUCAUAGGCAGUCCACGGAAACCCCCACCACUGCAGUGACCGUUUAAUAUACCACCAGACCCAUAAAAAUUCCAGUAGCAUAAUAUGGCGAAUAAAAUGUAAUCCAGUCUACCGAGACCAAUCCAAAAUUGUUCAUAUAUUUCAUGCCAACCCCAAAAAUUUAGCCAUCAUGCUACCAUAGUGUCAUAAGCCCCAAUUUCAAUAACAUAUAAAAUCAUAAAUUUCAACACAGUCUCCAUAUACUCAAUUUUCCCAAAACAAUAUUUGAUUUCAAAACCAGUAUAAAUCUCAUUUUUAUUAAAAAACAUUUUAAUUGGAAAACAUAAUAUUUUAUAAUUUAAAUUCACCAUUCAAUAAAAGCAUCAAACAAGUAUAAUUACUCUAGAUAUUUAAGACGAUAAAUUGUCCACUCACAGUUCUAGGAGUCGAUGUACUCCUAAUCCCAGUCUUCAAGCACAAUUUUGGUACUUUUACCAGUGUAAUUUGCUCACCACCUAUCCACAAUGUACAAUACAUAAUUCACCACAUCAAUGCUUGACCAUUAUAAAAUCAAUUCAGGCUCGGUAUAUAUGCAUGAUAUGACAUGCAACUUAUCCGACUACCGCUUAAAUGCGGUGCUGACCUAAUUCGGCCUAUUACCCGAUUAAAUUACUAACGCGUCCAAUUUAAUCUCAAAUUAAUUUUUUUCAGUUUCUAUACCUCAAUUGCACCCAAAUUGACUUAAUGUCCCUCGGUGUGGUGCAAAUUAUCAGUCCUGAUAGCAAAUUACGAAAAUACCCCUAAUGGGUAAAAAUUCAUAUUUUUGCUCCGAAAAUUUCCAUUAUUUUUCUAGACUCAUAAUUCAUCAUUAUUCAUCAUAAUUCCUCAAAUAAACAUCAAGAUCAUCAGCCAAUAUUCCCCUAGAAAAUUCAGCCAAUAAUGGUAAUGGAGGAAAAUAAAUUCUUUUCUUGUUGUUUUGUUCCUAAAUAUGCUAAACUAACUUAAAACACUAACAUAACUUAAAAUCAAAUUAAUCUAACAAGUUUCUCUCUCCUAACCCAUUUUUCCAGAAUUGAAUUCAUCCUCAAAUCACAUGAUUCAACCAUGGAAAAUGAUGGGAAAUGCAUGGGAAAGGUAAAGCACAAGUCAAAAUCAAGAAAUUUUACCUUUGGUCACUUGUUUCCUUGAAUUUUCACCAAUUUUUCCUUGAAUUUCUCCCCCUAGGUUUUUGUUUUUCUUUUCCCCUUUGUUUUCUUGCUAUGGCCGGCCAUAAUGAAGAGAAAAUGGUGGUGUGGGCUGAUUUUUAUAGUUAAAUAAUAUAAUAAUCUAAACUUGCCACAUGUCACUACAUUAUUGGUCCAUUUUUUAAAUUCUUAUCUUUUAAGCUUUAAAUCUCCACCACACAUUAUUCCUUAAAAUAUCCAUAACUUAGAUAAAAUUCUCAAACUUAUCCAAAGUCUUGGUGAAGUAAUUUUUGAUAUUUACACUUUUGCCCCCGUAAAAAUCAAAAAUUACAUUUUUGCCCCAAAAACUGAAAAAUUGCCCAUAGACAUAUUUUUUAUCCCUUAUACUCAUAUCAUUCCCCAAUUUGUCAAAUGUGAUCUAAAUUCUCUCAAAAUCUCAAAUUUUGUCCGCAGAUGGAAAAAUUACAAUUUUACCCCUAUAUAGUGAAAAUUUCAAUUUGACUCCGAAUUGAUCCUCGAACUCCUAAUUACCAUUUUGAGUCAUCCCUGAACUGUGAAACUCUUAAUUUCACCUUAAAAUUCCUAUUUGAACUAGUUCGAGGCUUAAUCGACUUAAUGAUACCAUUAGGGGCAAUAUCGUCUUUUAACGAUUUCUCGAACUUCCUAAAUAUACAAACAUUCUAUCGAGCAUGUGAAUGAUAUUAUAAUUAUUUUACAAAGCAGGGUUUGACAACACUACCCCCCUUAAAAUAAAAUUUUGUCCUCAAAAUUUCACUUAUCAACUCAAAGAAAAGGCGGGGUAUUAUCUUUUAUUCGAUGCUCAACUUCUCCUGUUAUCUCCUUUAUAGGGAAUCUUAAUUCACUAAAAAUCAUUCUUUAUUUUAGUUAAUCACAAUAUCAACCCCACAUAUGUGUAUAUGCUUUAUAAUCCCAUUUAUGCAUCCAAGAUCUAUCUUGAUUUAAUCAUCGCAUACGAUGCAGUAUCAUAAUUCCUCAGAGUCAUCCCUUUGUCCUUAAUCAUCUUUCGUGCCUCUAUAUUGCUUUGUAUCCUUCUUGUAUUUCGACAUCAAUUUAUUGCUUAAGAUUUAAGUUCAUUUGAACUUUGUAUACCUCAAGUAUUUUUGAGUUCUAAUUUCCACAAUAUAGUAAGAAAUUCUUACAACCAUAUUCCAUAUGAACUCAUUUACUAUAUUAUUCUUGAAACCUUUAUUUACACGUCCAUCACUUGGUAUUUACAUCCCCUAUCACUAUUUUACACCUUCGUCUAACUUUUCACUCACUUUCUCCAGAUCGGACUCGUGCUUCAUCUUCCGUUACAGCGAAAACUCUUGUUGAAGAACGAGUCAAUGGCCUCAAAGGUGGUUGUGCUGGGGUGUUGCUACCCAUUUCAGAUCGUACAGUUACCCCCUGCCUCGGGUGUACUCCAGAGGAAUCUCUCCUCUGCAUAUCCGUAUGAGUUAGUGGGGAUGGAGCAGCUACUGUAGCCCGUCCUAACUGUGGGCAGUCACUCCUAAUGUGGCCCGGCUGGUCACAAUGAAAGCAUCUUAUGCCCCAACACUCCCCAACAUGAUAUCUCCCACAUUUUUCGCAUUUAUUUAAACCUCCAAAACUCUUCUCGGAAGUACUACUCAUCCCAGACCUGUUAAAUCUCGGAGGUCUCUGCUGUAACUGUGAAAGUGGGGGUCGAGGAGAUAUCACCGGAACAGAAACAGUACUCUCAGAAGCAAAUGUGUCCUUACCUCUUUUGGGCAGUUGACUAGAGGAUACAUUCGGGUUUCUCCUCUUUGCAAACUCAGCUCGCAUUCUCCGAUUUUCAUUCGUGAGUUUUUCGGCCCUUAAAGCCAUCUGUACAACUUCUUUAUGAGGCUCCCGGCCUGUCACAGUCAUCCUCUCUCUGAUCUCGUUACGGAGCCCUUCUUCAAAAUAACUAGCUUGAUCUUGCUCAGACUUCACCAGGUCUGGCACAUAUGACAUCAGCUCGUUAAAACGAGCCUCGUACUCUUCUAUGGUUAAAUUCCCUUGUUGUAAACUUAGGAAUUCUCUCUUCUUCUCUUUUUGAUGAAAGUAGGUGUAGUAUUGACCGUCGAAUUCUUGUAGGAAGUCUAUCCAAGUCAACGAAGUAAUGGAACGUGAUUUUACCGAGCUCCACCAUGUACGAGCCCUCUUCUCUAGUAAUCUUGUGGCCACCAUUAACUUCAUAUCAUCAUCCAAUUUCAUAUCCACAAAUGUCUCCGUUACCUGAGUAAUCCAAUCUUUAGCUGCGGUUGCAUCCAAAUCACCAACAAAAGAAGUGCAACCCAGCUGCCUAGCUUCCUUAAGCUUUUUGGAAAUGGAGACAUCUGGCACUGGUGGUGGAACAAGAGGUGGUGGUGGUGGCACUGGAGAUACUGCUGGGGGAACAGUAUGAGGGACUCGACCAGCUUGAGCUUGGCCCAUAAUGACAUUAAGAAAAGCUGCUAAUGCCUGGACUGCCUCAAGAGACAUGGCAUGAACACCAGGAGUAGCAGUAGGUGGUGGAGGAGGUGGAGGAAUCUCAGUAGGCUCAACAGCAGGUGCUGCUCGAAAAGUAGGUGCAGCAGACUCCCUUUCCACGGGAUCUGGCUGACUAAGUCUAGCACGGCCUCUUCCCCUCCCUACUG
rnacentral:lncRNA from 1 species